UGCUGUAAAAACUACAGCGUUAUUUUACAGAAGCUGACUGUAUUUUAAAUAAUACAGAAUAUUGCUGUAAAGUGCAAUGCAUUCUGGGGUCACGUGACGGAUUAACUCAAUGUACAGAAUAUUGCUGUAAAUUUCAAAUCUACAAUGGCGGGAUGAUCUUCAACAGUCGAGAUUGGGGUAGUGCGCAAAAUGAAUGAUUCACACCUGUGGUAAGUAACUUAUUACGUAUUUUUUUUCCAUAUUUGGUAACUAUCAUACUGGUAACUUUAUAUAGAGGUAUCUAAAUUCGCGGUUCAUAUUGCUAACCCCGGAUUCAACCUCCAUCCGCGGGGACCGAAGGAGUCUUGCGGGGUUUCAGCAGCGCCGUCGCGGUAAGAUUUCAAACAUUCUCCGUCGCUAUAGCACCUGAGGACAGAAGUUGUUCAUGUUAUUUAGAGUUUUUGUUCACACAAGGAGUGAAGGCGGUAUGUGACGAGCUACAGUUCAUUGUUUUAGUUAGUUGACGAUUGUUUUUUAAAUGUUGAACAACGCGCCCGCCGUAGACUCGGUAAAAGUUACAUGCUUCGACAGUUGGGAUACCACACUCGCUCGUGAUUAUUUUGUGGUGUAAUUCAAAUUUGCAAAUGCAGUCAUCCGUUAAAUCGAGCGCCCAAAUUAAAAUGAGUCACCAUAGCUUGAGGUAAGUCGAUGUUCACGGAGGAUAGCCCGGUAAAGUGAUUAAUGUACGUAACCAUCUAGAUAUACAGUUUAUGUAUCGGAGGCCAGAUGAGAGCUUGAGCAAAAGACGUUAGCGACACCCUCAUUGUAUAGCAGGCCUGUCUCCCAAAUAGGACCGUUGGAGGGUGGGAGUGAGACCCGUUACAAAAUACUAGUGUGACAAUUUCUUGACCGUGACAUCCCUAACGUUAGUUGGAUUACAUUUCUGUAUAAGUACGGUUUUAAGUGUAAGUUACUCUGUUUAAUUUGCUUAGAGUUUGUUUGUAGAGUCACUUAUACUAAAAUGUAGUUAAAAUGUAAAAUGCUUAAAGAUAAUUGUAUAGUCACUAUUAACUAUUACUAUUGUCACAUGUAUAAUUGUUUGUUUUAGGACACACUUUGCCAUGCAGGCCACUGGAUGCUGACUACUGAAGGUUAGGUUGUGUGUGACGGUGCUCAGCACAGCUUCAUGUCUGGCCUUCCCACUCUGUUCAUAGCAUGUUACAUAUCCAGUCUUGAGUACCAGGAUGGGGCAGCGUGUACUUGGAGUCCAAUGAAAGAUAUUAAUCCAGAGAGUGGAACAAGCAGCGUCAUCUAAAAUGCCAGGAUACAGAAGAAACAGGUUGCAGUGAACCCACAUGUCGCCGCUCUUCUAAACACAAUGAUGAAUAUUCAGUGUAAUCGAUGAAAAUUCCAGCUACUUGUUGUGCUCUGAUGGAUCAAGAUGUGGACCGUUUUACAGACUCACUUGGGCCUUGUUUUGCAAUGUUGUUUCAUGAUGGUAAUGUUGGUUAACGUGUUGUUUAAACAUUAAUGUUUAAAGAGCCAUGUUGGAUACUAUGAAGUUCUUACUGAAUAAAAUUAUUUCAUGUACAACAACGUACACAAUUUGUCUGUAAUGUAUUUUUGUAUCAAUUAAAAAAAAAUAAACACUGUAUAUCCAGUAUGCAAAACAUACUGGAUAUACAGUGAUUUAUGUAUUUCUUCUAAAUAAAGUAAAUUAAAAUCAAGCAAUUUGCUGUAAAAAAUACAGCAUUAUACUGUUGCUAUUCAAAAUUACAGUUUUUCCUGUAUUCUGCAAUUACAGUAAAUGGCUGUAAAUUAAAUUACAGUACUGUGGCUGUACAAUUUACAGUAACUGGCUGGCAACCCUGCUGCCAGUAGUUUACUGUAAAUUUUACAGGAUUUU